rnacentral:rRNA from 1 species
GUGAGGAAUAUUGGGCAAUGGGCGAAAGCCUGACCCAGCCACGCCGCGUGAGUGAUGAAGGCCUUCGGGUUGUAAAGCUCUGUGGGGAGGGAAGAAAAAGCGCAGGAGUAACUGCCUGUGUGUUGACGGUACCUCCUUAGCAAGCACCGGCUAACUCUGUGCCAGCAGCCGCGGUAAUACAGAGGGUGCAAACGUUGCUCGGAAUUACUGGGCGUAAAGCGCGUGUAGGCUGACAUGCAAGUCGGGUGUGAAAUCCCAGGGCUCAACCUUGGAACUGCACUCGAAACUGCACGUCUUGAGUACUGGAGAGGGAAGCGGAAUUCCGGGUGUAGAGGUGAAAUUCGUAGAUAUCCGGAGGAACACCAGUGGCGAAGGCGGCUUCCUGGACAGUAACUGACGCUGAGACGCGAAAGCGUGGGGAGCAAACAGGAUUAGAAACCCUGGUAGUCC